rnacentral:rRNA from 1 species
UGCGGUAACGCAUUCAGCUGAUGAAUACUAAUAGAUCGAAGGUUUAUUCU